GGACGAUUAGCUCAGUUGGGAGAGCGUCUGCCUUACAAGCAGAAUGUCGGCGGUUCGAGCCCGUCAUCGUCCA
rnacentral:tRNA from 3 species